GCCGGCAUGGUGGAAUGGUAGACGCAGUGGACUUAAAAUCCACUUCCCUAUGGGAGUGCGGGUUCGACUCCCGCUGCCGGCA
rnacentral:tRNA from 1 species